rnacentral:rRNA from 1 species
UUGACCUCAAAUCAGGUAGGACUACCCGCUGAACUUAAGCAUAUCAAUAAGCGGAGGAAAAGAAACUAACAAGGAUUCCCYUUAGUAACUGCGAGUGAAGAGGGAAAAGCUCAAAUUUAAAAUCUGGCAGUGUUUCACUGUCCGAGUUGUAACCUAGAGAAGUGUAACCUGUGCUGGACCGUGUAUAAGUUUCCUGGAAUGGAGCAUCACAGAGGGUGAGAAUCCCGUCUUUGACAUGGACUACCAGUGCAUUGUGGU